rnacentral:rRNA from 1 species
GACGAACGCUGGCGGCGUGCUUAACACAUGCAAGUCGAACGGAAAGGCCCUGCUUUUGUUGGGUUCUCGAUUGGCGAACGGGUGAGUAACACGUGAGUAACCUGCCCUUGUCUGUGGGAUAACUUCAGGAAACUGGGGCUAAUAUCGGGUAUGAGCUCCUGCUGCAUGGUGGUGGUUGGAAAGUGUCGGCGUUUGAGGGUGUACUCGCGGCUUAUCAGCUUGUUGGUGGUGUAGUGGCUUACCAAGGCUUUGACGGGUACCCGGCCUGGGAGGGUGACCCGCCACAUGGGAACUCGGGAGCGACCAGUACUCAUACGGGCGGCAGCGGUGGGAACUAUACGCAAAUGGGCGGAGGCCGGGUAGAUCAACGCCGGGUCGGGAAAAUCGGCCUUGGGGUUGUAACCCGCUUUCACCUGUGUAGAAACGUGGGGACGGGAACUGGGUAAGAAGCACCGGCUAACUACGUG